CACAAAGGUAUUUUCCUGUGAUCAGAAGAAAGCUCACCGGAUUGGCAUAAUCGGACCUUCUGGAGGGUGCAUCUCAUAAGAGAAAAUGUUUAGGCCUUCUAGAAGAGACCUCGGGGAACUGAUUUAAAGCAACCCAAAUUGUCAGCCCCUCUUCUGGGCGACCUAGACCAGGGGUCCCUACAAGUUUCCUCUGUGUUUCCAGCCCUCCCAUCACCCACAUCACCGCCUGAGCGCCACCUCCUGGCAGAUCUGCUGGGCAUUCGAUUCCGUAGGAGCGCAGACCCUGCUGUAAACUGUGCAUGCAGGGGAUCCAGGUUGCCCCCUCCUCUGAAUCAUCUCAAAACCGUCCCCUCCUCCCCAGUCCCUGGAAAGAUGGUCUCUCAAGAAACUGGUCCCUUCCCUCUGCCAUUUAAACGUGCAAUUAUGAAGAAGCAUGAUUUUGACGUGGGCACACCCAGGACCCUGCCACAUUCAAAUGCAGGACAAGUCUCUCGGGUAUGAACACGUGCGUCUCCCCUUCCUGCUCCAGUUUGGGGAGACGCUGCUUUGGAAAUCACCCCUGGUGCUCUCCUGGCUCGCUGCAAGGAAUGAACCUUUCUCUGCUCUUUUAUCUCCAGGCUGAACUUUUGGUCAUUUGCCUUUUCCUGCAGACCCAAAGCACAAGUCAUUACAGCUCCGUGCCUCAGCUCGGGCACCCUGUGGGCAGCGUCCAAGCCACACCGCCAGACUGUCAGGCGGCAGUGGACACAAAGGAUGAGAAAGGAUUGGGGCGACAAUGAUCGGGAGGACCAGGGAAUUGCUCCUGCCUUCUCUGAGGUUUUACUUUCUGUGGUUUCCAUUACCUGUGGUCAGCUGCGGUUUGAAAAUAUUAAAGGGAAAAUUACAAAAAUAAACAAUGCAUGUUUUAAAUCAGGCAACGUUCUGAGUGGUGUGGUAAAAUCUCACACAGUCCCACUCUGCCACACCCAGCAAGUGAUUCACCCCCUGUCCUGUGUAUCCAUGCUGUAAUGCCACAGGUCAGCUGUCCUGGUGUCUCACAUAGUGCUUGGGUUCAAGGAACCCUUAUUUUACUUCAUAAUGGCCGAGGGCACUAAGCCACAGCAUAAAACCCAGGGCAGAUGACCCUGGUGCCGUUUGUCAGUACCCAGGGCACGCAGGAAAGCACACAGCACUGUGCAGAUGAGAUUAGCACUUUCUGCAGUUUCAGGAAACCACCAGGGGCUCGGAACGCAUCUCCAGCUGACCAAGGAGGACAACUGCAUAGGCUGGAGCACACUUCUGUUUGAGUAGAAGCAAGAAGGCCAGGGGGACAGGAAGUGACCAAGUUUAAGAGAGAGCAGGGAACUAAUCCUGGGAGGCUAUACUAGAAACACAGAGUCACUUCUCAAUAAUGCAAAUGCCGUCGGCUCAGCAAGAUGACAACGUCAAAUAUGAAUGCACCUGCUAGCAAUGUAUGAAAACUCACAUGGAGAUCCAGUGGGGACAGUUUAUUUCAUAUAACUUGAUUCCGCUUAGGGUGGAUAAAAAUUAAAUUAAAAAGAAUAAAA